CGUGGGCGUUUGAGAAUUGAGAGGAGCUGCUCCUAGUACGAGAGGACCGGAGUGGACGAACCUCUGGUGUUCGGGUUGUGACGCCAGUCGCAUUGCCCGGUAGCUAUGUUCGGACAGGAUAACCGCUGAAAGCAUCUAAGCGGGAAGCCCCUUCCAAGAUGAGAUCUCCCUGGACCCUCGAGGUCCCUGAAGAGCCGUUCAAGACCAGGACGUUGAUAGGUCGGGUGUGUAAGCGCUGCGAGGCGUUGAGCUAACCGAUACUAAUUGCUCGUGCG
rnacentral:rRNA from 14 species